CCAAAUGAAACAUGGUUGGGUUGUCGCUGUCCCUCGGUGGAAUGUGCACACCCUGCCGUUGUGUCCACCUCCUCACCCGUGCACCUCCUUGUAGACCGCAUUGCUCUUUUGGAUCCAGAAGCUUGCUCUCUCAAGAGAAAAGAGCGUUUGGAUGCUCUUGGGGAUUUGCCGUGAUGGCUCGCCCUGGGCAUGUCCGGUCUACGCCUCUGUAUCAAAAAACCCCUGUCAAACACGUUUGUUGUUGAUCCUGCUAAUGCACACUA
rnacentral:misc_RNA from 1 species